GAUGAACGCUGGCGGCGUGCCUAAUACAUGCAAGUCGAGCGAACAGACGAGGAGCUUGCUCCUCUGACGUUAGCGGCGGACGGGUGAGUAACACGUGGAUAACCUACCUAUAAGACUGGGAUAACUUCGGGAAACCGGAGCUAAUACCGGAUAAUAUAUUGAACCGCAUGGUUCAAUAGUGAAAGACGGUUUUGCUGUCACUUAUAGAUGGAUCCGCGCCGCAUUAGCUAGUUGGUAAGGUAACGGCUUACCAAGGCAAUGAUGCGUAGCCGACCUGAGAGGGUGAUCGGCCACACUGUAACUGAGACACGGUCCAGACUCCUACGGGAGGCAGCAGUAGGGAAUCUUCCGCAAUGGGCGAAAGCCUGACGGAGCAACGCCGCGUGAGUGAUGAAGGUCUUCGGAUCGUAAAACUCUGUUAUUAGGGAAGAACAAAUGUGUAAGUAACUAUGCACGUCUUGACGGUACCUAAUCAGAAAGCCACGGCUAACUACGUG
rnacentral:rRNA from 1 species